CUCUCCUCGAGAACAGACCCUUCUUUCGUUCAUCCUGGAGAGAAGAACAAGAGAAGAGGCACUUAUUCCGUUGAACAAGCGCCAUGUCAUCAACCAUCCGGGGAAGGCUCGCUCUUAUGCCUCGAUUAUACCGAGCCUUCGUGUUCUUCCACAGACUUUCUCAUUGGAUGGUAUGUUUUACGUCGGCAGGGGGAUAGCCGGAUAGGCGAUCCUUGAAAAUUAAUCGUCGGCAAGAUCGAUCUGUCUAUAAAUCUAAUAUCGAACAUCUUUUUGUAUUCUUCUUAAUUUUCAUUGUGUUUUUUCAUUGAUAUACGAAGGGGAAUAGGAGCACAGCCGUCGCCCAUCUGGUUGGUAUUUUUUCGUCGAUCCAUCAAACCGGGUAAUUGAAACGACAUCAAUAGCUUGCUGACAUGCGUCGUGAGUUUGAGCCUGUUCACAACGGAGCAUCCUCAUUCAUUGCUUAUGGCAUGUAUAUCUUUGAUGAUGGGCAUCAUGUAGACGAUGCAAUGCCCCUGGACGAAUACACAGACAUAUUUCCGAUGGUUAUUGAACUUAAUGGAGCCACAGUCAAAAAUGGUUAUUUGUGUGUUCCUGGUGAAGUUGACCCAGUGGUCAUCUAUGAACUUGCAUCUCCCCAGUGCAGGCUGCUCAUGAAGAGCAUGCUUAAGUCUCUUGAAAUAAAUGAUCUGGAUGGGGUGUGUUUUACUGCAUUUGACCGCAACAAUGUGGUUGUGACCGCAACAAUGUGGUUGUGACCUCAUUUGGUAAAAUCAAAUUGAGGAAUGUUACCAUUGUCCGCAACCUCAAAGGAGCUGCACUGUGACAAGCUCAAAGAAAUAACUAUCUGUUGGCCCUUCUAAUAUUUCAGAGCUUGUUCGAAGGUGAAGCUGUUCCAGAAGAUGUCCAGGACUUGUUUAAUAUCAUUGAAGAUCAGGACCAGUAUAAUCUGCAUCGGCCAAUGUUCCAUGUCCAUGGCGCUGUACUUCAAAUUCCAGAGUAUUCUGGUGUCUACAAAGACUUACAUGAGCAUAUACGUCUUGUGAUUGAAAAGCCAGAGAUGAGGAGCAUAUUACUGAAUCUGCCAUAUGUAGAUGAUUGGCUGCUUAGGAUUGCAAGCAAUUCCCUCCUCAUGACGACAUAUAACUACAACGUUAAGAGUUACAUUGUUCCAACGAGCAAUGCUAUUCAGACCUGCCUGAACAAGGACCAGAUUGCUUUGCUCACUGAACUACACUUAGUUAGAGCUAGUGGUCAAAAGGACUUCACUGCAGAACAGAAGCAACUUGUCAAGGCGCUUCAGUUCAUUGAUUUUCCGAGGAAUUGAAAUGCCCACAGGAUGGAGCCCUUUGUGUACUUUAGGUCUGAGGGUCAGUUCUACAAUUCUGAAGGAAGUGAAACAGUGUCAUAUCUUCGUUUACCCCUUCUGAUACCGGCCAUGCAGAAACAACUUCAAAGCAUUCGUAGGCUCCAUGAGGUGCAAGACGUCCGGCAUGAGGAUGAGGCAGGUGCAGGUGCUGGGGCAGGUGCUGGUGCUGGUCUUGUCGGUGUCGGUGAGCCUGGUGAUGGUGCUGGUGUUGUUGGUGUCGGUGAGCCUGGUGCUGGUGCUGAGGAUGAGUCUGAGUUGUAGUAUUUUUACUGCUCUAAACUUGGAACGCCCAAUGUAGUAGUGCUUUCAUUUCUUGCCUUCUAGAAUCGUGGCUGGUGUUGCUGGCGUUGUGGGUGAGCCUGGUGCUGAGGCUGAGUGGCUGGUGUUGAGUUGUAGGAAUUUGCUGCUCUAAACUUUUAUUGAAUGGAACUCCCAGUGUAGUGUUUCAAUCUUUAGUCUGCUAGAAUAUUGUAUACUACUUAUGUUGAUGCUAAUGAGGUACACUUGAGUAAAUUAAUUAGCUAUUUGACUUGUCA